GUACUUCUGUUACCUUAAAUCCAGCAGUUCCUGUAUCUGAGGAUACAUCCUCUUAUCCUGGAGAUGAUUGUUUCAUCUCAGUCAAGGGCAUUGAUCAUCAGUCAAGUUUUCCCGGUGGGAGUGCACCAGAGAAAGCCAUGCAACAUGAAAAGGAUAAAUCAAUAGAUGGAAGGCAAGAUGGUGCGUCUGAAAAUACUGCAACCACAAAUGUACCAACUGAUGUUUAUUUAAAUAUCAGAUUACCUGAUGGCAGUAGCCUACAAGAGAAGUUUCCUGUGGGCAACACCCUGAGAAUGAUAAAAGACUAUGU
rnacentral:lncRNA from 1 species